rnacentral:lncRNA from 1 species
AGCCGUGGGUCCACAGUUAGGAGACUCAACUCUCAGAGGCUGAGGAGUCAAUGCUAACAAUGGAUCUGAGAAAUCUAGAAAGCUGCACAGUGUGUGCAUUUUCAUCUGUUGCCUGGAAGCUGUUCUGACGGAUAGAGGAAUUUGAGACAGGUCGGGGCCAGCAAGGAGCUUCAAAUCUAGUCCCGUCCUUCCUGCAGCAAGCAGCCUUGGCCUCAUUCUGGGCAGAAUUGUGAGCAAGCUGCUUUAUGCCUUUGAAUCUGUCCUCUGCCCUGGCUCCGGAGUCCAUCCUCCACCCUGAAUCCGGAGUCCAUCCUCCGCCCUGGCUCCUACCUCCGUGGUGCCUCUCACCUUUACCCUCUCACACUGUGUCUCAGGAAACCACUUCCUCUGCUCGAUUCUGCACCGUCCUGGUAGAAUCGGAAGUACAAGGGAGAAGGCAACGGCAGCAAAUGUUGCUGGGACUUCAGGGGAGACAGAGGUGUGGAAACAGGCAUUAGAUUUAAAAACGAGGGGCAUGUGGAGCCGUGGAGCCUCAUCACAGGCUGCUUUGGGCCUGAGGGACCGAUUGAGAGGCAAAGAACCGAAGGCUUCAAGUGUGAGAAAUCCAGCUGUGAGAAGAAGGUGGAGGGACUCUUAGAUUUGAAUUUGGAAGAGCCCUGAGCAUUGAAAAGGAGUCAUUUGCUCAAGACACGGGUUGGCCAUACAGGAGAGAGAGGAGGCAAUGCCGAGCGAACGAUUUGGAUCCCUGCUGGAGAAAAUUCCAAGCAAGAUGAAAAAUGACUUCAGCCUGGCCUUUGGCCUGUUGCUGAGAUCUAGGCCCGAGGACUGUCUCUGGUUACCUUGUCAAACUCAGCAGCACCAUUAAGAAGGACACUGAGCAGUGGAGCCAUUAAAUAAAUCUAAGAGAAAUGGCAGCUCAUCUGCAUCUGAAGUUACACAGCUGAGAAAAGCCUCCCUGUGCUCUAAUAUGUGUGUAACAUUUUCUUAAUGUCCUCUGAGGUCUGUGACUAAUAUUAUGAUAAAGUACCAUAAGCGU